UACGUAGGGUGCGAGCGUUAAUCGGAAUUACUGGGCGUAAAGAGUGCGUAGGCGGUUCUCCAAGUCCGUUGUGAAAGCCCCGGGCUCAACCUGGGAAUGGCAGUGGAAACUAGGGGACUUGAAUCUGGCAGAGGGGGGUGGAAUGCCGCGUGUAGCGGUGAAAUGCGUAGAUAUCGAGAGGAACACCUGCGGCGAAGGCGGGUUGCUGGGCUGACACUGACGCUGAGGCGCGAAAGCUAGGGGAGCGAACGGG
rnacentral:rRNA from 1 species